rnacentral:rRNA from 1 species
AACGAACGCUGGCGGCAUGCCUAACACAUGCAAGUCGAACGGUACCUUCGGGUCUCGUGGCGCACGGGUGCGUACCGCGUGGUAACCUGCCUUUAGGUUAGGAAUUACACGCCAAUAGGGGUGCUAAUAUCGGAUAAAUUCUUCGGACAAAAGAUUCAUCGCCUUUGGAUGGGCCUGCGUUUGCUUAGCUAGUUGGUAGGGAAAAAGCCUACCAAGGCGAUGAUCAAUUGCUGGCCUGACAGGAUGAUCAGCAACACUGGGACUGAGACACGGCCCAGACUCCUACGGGAGGCAGCAGUGGGAAAUAUAGGACGAUGGGCGAAAGCCAGAACCAGCAAUGCCGCGUGAGUGAUGAAGGCCUUAGGGUUGAAAAGCUCUUUUACCCGGGAUGAUAAGGACAGAACCGAGAGAAUAAGCUCCGGCAAACUCCGG